rnacentral:rRNA from 1 species
GACGAACGCUGGCGGCGUGCUUAACACAUGCAAGUCGAACGGAAAGGCCCUGCUUUUGUGGGGUGCUCGAGUGGCGAACGGGUGAGUAACACGUGAGUAACCUGCCCUUGACUUUGGGAUAACUUCAGGAAACUGGGGCUAAUACCGGAUAGGAGCUCCUGCUGCAUGGUGGGGGUUGGAAAGUUUCGGCGGUUGGGGAUGGACUCGCGGCUUAUCAGCUUGUUGGUGGGGUAGUGGCUUACCAAGGCUUUGACGGGUAGCCGGCCUGAGAGGGUGACCGGCCAGAGACAGAGGGAGCGGCGGGAGAGAGGGGGACGGGGGCAGGCGGUGGGAGAGAUAGCACGCGGGGCGGAGGCCUGCGGCGGGGCGGGCGGGUGCUGGACGGCGGGCGUCGGGGUGGACGCCGCGUUCGGCUGGGCCGGAGGGGGAGAGGGGGGAGGGGGGAAAGAAGCACGGGCGAACUAGGCGACACCAGCCGGGGGAAUCAUCGAAAGACAACCCGCCGACA